rfam:Populus trichocarpa isolate Nisqually-1 chromosome 17, whole genome shotgun sequence.
GGGUGCGAUCAUACCAGCAAUAAUGCACCGGAUCCCAUCAGAACUCCGCAGUUAAAUGUGUUUGGGCGAGAGUAGUACUAGGAUGGGUGACCUCCUGGGAAGUCCUCGUGUUGCACCCC